AGGAGCUGGAGCUGGCCGCGGUGUAUGUGUCUGACGCUCAGCACGACCGCAACAUCACCUUCGACACGUCGCCUCCGGGCAUCAGGCUGUAUAUGCUGUAUAACCACUGGGCCCUGCUGGUGCUGGUGCACCUGCUGAUCAUCAUCAACCUGUCUCUCGCUGUCUUCGAGGACCCAGCUGUCUACCCUUUGCCUCUAUGGGUGACGUUGGCGGUGGAGCUUGUCUGCCU